CACGUAGGGGGCGAGCGUUGUCCGGAUUCAUUGGGCGUAAAGGGCGCGCAGGCGGCCCGGAAAGUCGGAUGUGAAAACUCGAGGCUCAACCUCGAGCGUGCACCCGAUACUGCCGGGCUUGAGGCAGGUAGGGGAGAUCGGAAUUCCUGGUGUAGCGGUGAAAUGUGUAGAGAUCGGGAGGAACACCGGUGGCGAAGGCGGGUCUCUGGGCAUCUCCUGACGCUGAGGCGCGAAAGCGUGGGGAGCAAACGGG
rnacentral:rRNA from 1 species